rnacentral:rRNA from 1 species
UACAGAGGGGGCAAGCGUUGUUCGGAAUUACUGGGCGUAAAGGGCGCGUAGGCGGCCUGCUAAGUCGAACGUGAAAUCCCCGGGCUCAACCCGGGAACUGCGUCCGAUACUGGCAGGCUUGAAUUCGGGAGAGGGAUGCGGAAUUCCUGGUGUAGCGGUGAAAUGCGCAGAUAUCAGGAGGAACACCGGUGGCGAAGGCGGGUCUCUGGGCCGAUACUGACGCUGAGGAGCGAAAGCGUGGGGGAGCGAACAGG